rnacentral:rRNA from 1 species
UACGUAGGGGGCGAGCGUUGUCCGGAUUUAUUGGGCGUAAAGAGCGUGUAGGCGGCCAGGUAGGUCAGCUGUGAAAACUCGAGGCUCAACCUCGAGAUGUCGGCUGAAACCAUCUGGCUAGAGUCCGGAAGAGGAAAGUGGAAUUCCCGGUGUAGCGGUGAAAUGCGCAGAUAUCGGGAAGAACACCCGUGGCGAAGGCGGCUUUCUGGGACGGUACUGACGCUGAGACGCGAAAGCGUGGGGAGCGAACAGGAUUAGAAACCCCGGUAGUCC